GAUUAGCUGAGAGGUGGUGCAUGGCCGUCGUCAGUUCGUACUGUGAAGCAUCCUGUUAAGUCAGGCAACGAGCGAGACCCACGUCCACAGUUGCCAGCAUACCCUCCGGGGUGAUGGGUACACUGUGGAGACCGCCGCUGCUAAAGCGGAGGAAGGAGUGGGCAACGGUAGGUCAGUAUGCCCCGAAUCUCCCGGGCUACACGCGGGCUACAAUGGUUGGUACAAUGGGCAUCUACCCCGAAAGGGGAAGGAAAUCUCUUAAAGCCAAUCUUAGUUCGGAUUGAGGGCUGCAACUCGCCCUCAUGAAGCUGGAAUCCGUAGUAAUCGCGUUUCAACAGAACGCGGUGAAUACGUCCCUGCUCCUU
rnacentral:rRNA from 1 species